rnacentral:rRNA from 1 species
UGCCAGCAGCCGCGGUAAUACGGAGGGGGUUAGCGUUGUUCGGAAUUACUGGGCGUAAAGCGCACGUAGGCGGAUUAGUAAGUUAGGGGUGAAAUCCCAGGGCUCAACCCUGGAACUGCCUCCAAAACUAUCAGUCUAGAGUUCGAGAGAGGUGAGUGGAAUUCCGAGUGUAGAGGUGAAAUUCGUAGAUAUUGGGAAGAACACCAGUGGCGAAGGCGGCUAACUGGCUCGGUACUGACGCUGAGAUGCGAAAGCGUGGGGAGCAAACAGGAUUAGAUA